GAGCCUUAGUCCAAUAAAAUGUGAGAGGAGGGUCGGUCACAUGCCACAACAUGGCUGCCAGAGGAUUCCACCUGGAGAGGGGACAGGAGUUAGGGGGCGAGCCGGCCUGACCUGCCAAAGGCUACUGCACUAACUCAAAGUCUGGUUUCUGCUAGGCACAAGUUAAUUUCCUUAGCGGUAGCUCUUGGGCUCCAGACCCGAAGCUGGCUUCACCUUUUAAUAAAGAGGAAGGUCUAGCUGGGGAAUUCAAGGGCCCAGACUUCUUCCUUCCAGUGGCUCCACGGUGUUUCUAGAGAUCUUGUCCUGCAUUUGCUCCUCUGCACUACGCUGGAAGGGUCAAGGAAUUGCUGGGACAGUUUUUAAGGAUUUUGACCAAACCACCUUCCAAAGAGGCGUUCCCACCUGAAAGGCAGCAGUGACGGUGACAACAGUAGUAACAGUGGAACACGCGUGGCUCUCCUGACACGGUGGGCACUGUUCUAAGCACUUCCCGUGCUGUACU